GCGUUGUUAGCUCAGCAGCAGAGCGAUUGCCUUCUGAGCAAUCGGUCACUGGUUCGAAUCCUGUACAACAUU
rnacentral:tRNA from 1 species